rnacentral:lncRNA from 1 species
GAAAACAAGAGGUGUUUGCAAGGUUAAGAGACUCAGUGUCUAAACGUGCCAUAAAGGUUUGCAGUAAUUUACAGCUGUAGGCAGCAGGCACUCCUGGUGGGGGGAAGGGAAAUGCAAUUUAAGAGAACAGAAAUAAAUAAGAAGCCGCAGCAGCUAACACUCUCUGAUUUAAUCCCCAGCCCAUGAGAAAGAUUUAUUCUGUUAUCUGACAGUUUGAUCACUCCAGGAAUCCCAUAGGUCAGCCCAUAUCUGCUGUUGUUAUCUCUGGGCUGUUUCCAGUGAGAUGCGCAGGGAAGAUUUGUUAAAGAAAUGAGCCGAAGAGGGGUGCUGAUAAGAGAGUUACAGAUGGGACCCCCAGAGACCUUUGGCAUGGAGGUUCCUCGACAAGAGAGAGCAAUUUGCUCUCUGCUAUGGGGCUGAGGCAUCACCGGGAGAGUGUUGGUGGCUUGCAUGGCUUGUGCUGGGGGAGCAAGUGAGUAGGAGCACACACAGUGCACACACGUGCAAAGAGCAUCCAGGAAAGGGGAAUGAGGUUGUGAGUGGAAGAUGAGCCCACAAUAGUGUGGAGGAACCAUAGCAGACUGGCACUGGGCAUACGAAGCAACCAGAAAUCCUCUUGUAAGGCUGUUAGAACAAGGAAGAGCUGCCCAAGGACUUAGUGGGAGAGGAAGGUUCACGAGCAGGCUGAAGGAUGGAUGAAGCGCCAGUCACUGUCGUUAGUCUUCAUCGGUGCUCAGGUGGUGCUCAGGUGUUCCACAGCUGAGAGCGGUGAAGGUGGGCAGGACCUUGGGGCCGGGAAGGGGUCAAGUACGGACCCUGGGGAGCUGCAAAGCUUUUGGUUUGGUGGAACUUGCUGGUGGAACCUCGCCCCAGGGUGCUUGAACGGCUGCCCGGUCCUGAGAGACAGAGACAACCCCAAAAGGAAUGAGGGGAGAGCAGUGGCAAGGCAAGAUGUCCAAGAGCAACCAGGCAGAAGGAUCCGUUCAGGGCCGGUCACUGCAAAGCUGCAGACAGCCUGGUGGAGAAUCCUCACUUCUGGCUCUCAAAGACCUACAAGUCACAGCCGUGGACGUGCAUCGUGCCGUGGGAGAGCAGCAGUGAGUGACCCAGUGCAGAAGGCUGUGGGGCUGCAUCGCUCACCCCACUUUGUCCCGGAGAAGGUGCCGUUCCCUGAAUCAAGUCAUCAAGACGUAGUUUUCAACCAGCUGCCCUCGUACCGAUGUAAUUCUUUUUUAAUGUUAUUGGCCGGGCUCAGGAGCAUGGCAGGAGGGCUGUGGCUGACCAGGCAGCAAAUUAACUGGAAUUUCAUUAUCUGAUAAUUUAUAUGAUGCCGGUUUUUUUUGGCAAGACGCUUUCAUUAAUAGAAGAUGCCCUCUGUCCGCUGACUAUUUACACUAUGGUUUCUCAGGGACCCCAUGUGAGGCUUCCUUUCUCAGUGACCUUCACCAAAGAGAAGAAAUGAUGCUCAUUUCCCUUGAUUUUGCUAAUGAAUUUUGUUCCUUUCUGCUUUGCAAGAACUUCUGAGUUUAGAACACUAUAGGCUUAAAUUUCCUUCUGUACCGCUGUGAAUCAGGAUUCACUUCCCUGAUGCCACUUGCGUUACAAAAGCUGCUAGGAGCCUAAGAGAAAUGCCAGGGGGGCCAUUUUUGGGGGGAUUUGGUGGCCUCAAACUGCAGGACAAGUGCAGGGCCAGGGGUUACACACUGGCCAGGGGUUAAACACCAGCCAGCAGUGGAAGAACGAGAGGGGCAAUGGCCAGCAGCUCAGCUUCUUGUGUGGCAGCCUUCAUAGGUGCUGCUGGGUCCCCUGAGUGCAGGCACGGUGCCACCACUGCUGUCACCUCUCCCUGGUUCCAGCACGUGCCCUGACCCAUGGCAAUAGAAGGCAGAGCAGGAUGUCACCUGCCGUGUCUGUCCCAUGAGGAGGAUGGCACCUGGCAGGGUCUGGUGAGGACAAAGCCAUCCUCAUGGGUGUGUUGUCCUCAAGGUCUCCGGUGCCUGCUUUUGAUGUCAGCUAGCCUGCUUUAGGCCAUUUGGGCUAUCUCUGUCCUCUGGUGGGGACAGUGACACUUGCAGAGAGCCCUGUUGGCUCCUCGGGAUGCUGGAGACUAAGCUUCUUAGAGGUUUUUCUUAGCUGAGGAAAACGCAGGCUCAUUAAAUCCACCUCUAAGCCCCGGUGACAUGGAGAGGUGACACCAGUGACGUGACCCUCACAAGGCCAGCAGGAGAGCAGCCUCCAGGGGGACAGGCUGGUGCCUUGCUCUGUGCGAGGGGACAGCUCGCAGCCUGCUGGUGCCUGGAGGCAGGGGCUGUGCCC